UAACGAUCUGGGAUUUCAAGGCAACCUGGAAGUCACCAUGGGUGUUAAUAUCCUGAUAGGAGCCACAGGAACAUGGAGGCCACCAUGGGUGUUGAUAUCCUGAUAGGAGCUACAUGUCAAUAGAGAGCCAUAUGUCCCUUUUGUCGGAGCAAGAAAAAUGGCUAUUUUGCUGGACCAGAACUUUUGCACAAAUUCUUGAUGAAUGCUGGUUUUGUGCACUGAUAGGUUUGGAGAGCUGUGCCUCUGGCAGCUGCUUUGAUAUUUAAAUCUCAGCAGAGAGACUGCUUUUACCAGACCUUCACUAAGGGCAAGGAAGAAUUUGCAAGUCCAUCUCCUUUUGUUUGUGACAGCAGGUGGGAUAGCUUGUGAGGAUCACACCUCUUCCUUUCCUCAUGGAAAUUAACCCAUUGUUCUGAGAUGUUUCUACUCUGGCCAGAGGUUGCAGCUAGGAGAGUUGCUGCUAGAGGCUAGAGGCUUUUUGCUGUGGCUGUUGAGUCCGGACCUUCUUUAAAAAAGCCUCCUAUGUGCUGUGUGUUAUUUUAUUAAUUGUAAUCCUCACUCCUGACUCAAGAACCUUUCGACUCUGCUGGCUGGCUCCGGCAGAUAGGGAAGGUCCUCCUCCCUUUCUAUUUGACCCUAGUCUAUCACGUUGUUUUAUACAAGUGUUUUAUUUUUGCACACAUAUUAUUACAGUUAUCUAUCCUUCUACCUAACAUCAAUCAUCUAUCUAUUAUCUCUAUCAUAUAUCUUCUAUACACACAUACACACACAUGUAUAUGGUUGUAAAAAUAUCAAUCCAAACAUGUGGUUCAAGAAUUGUUCAAAAUCAAUGUUUUAAAGUCAACAGUUUGAAAGAAAUGAAAUGCAUGUGUCACAUUGUCAAUUAUGGCAUGAGCCUUGGAAUGUUGACUUCACAGUGGUUUCUCUCCUGACUACUACAGAAUGUGUACACUUCAGUAGUGUAAACCCAGCUUCUUGAAAAGCUACUCAUUACAAUUUAGUACCAUUCUCCAAAAGAAAAGAAAAAGUACCUGAAGUGUGCUUUGACCUAUAAAGGAGAAAGGUGUUUGUAUAUCUUCAGAACUAUAUCUGACCAAGUUAUGAGUGAGGACUAUUCUCUAUACCAUCUAAUUAUGCUACUCAUCCUGACUACAAGUAUUUGUUUUAAAUUUGUGUCAAUUUCAACUUUAAAAUCUCAAAAGUUCUGGGGUUUUUAACAGACUUUUAUUGUUUCUGACACAUUUUGUGUUCUUUGGAACCUAAAUCUCAAUAUUUUGAUAGAGAUUCAGACUAGACAAGAACUGUUUUCCAAACAUGCUCUUUUACUUUCAAUUCUGUUAUUAUGAAACUGAAUUGGUACUGUUUUUAACAUACCUUUAUAUUACAUACUUUUCAUUUAUAUGCAUAUUGAAAACCAUUGACUGCUGUCUUUCUUUGACACUUUCAUUUCAUUAAGUGCUUUCUAACUAAAAUCUAUGGGGUCUCUGUAUACAUUCCUUAAUUUUAGCAGAGUAAUAGUCACUUUUACAGAUAUAUUUUAAAUAUUCAAUUAUAUGAUCUGGAUAACAGGAAAAAACACCAAAUCUUAGAAGAUUACAGGAAAGAAUUUUAUUAUGGAUAAAAGAGGAAAAAUGUUCAGAGGAUUCUAGAAAAGUUGAGACCAGAGGGGAGAAAGACAUACUUCAUGUGACCAAGCUGUCUGGGAAAAAAGAAAGAAUAUUAAGAUAGCUCAGACAAGUAAAGUAACUGACUUCAUAAAGAGAUGAAGAAGAAUGCUAGAAUAUUUGGGGAGUUAGCAGAGGGCAGGAGGAGAUAGGCUUGUUUGGGAAGUGACAGGAAUACAUGUGUGGGUUCUGAGAUGUAUAACAUACUUUUACUUCCCUUCACUUGACCUGGAGGCCAGCAUUGGUGCUGAUAUCACAGGUCAAUGGAGUGCCAUAUGUCCCUUUUGCCAGAGGCAAGGAAAAUGACUUCUCUUGCUGUAUAAGAACUGUCUGACAAAUUCUUGAUGAAUAUUGUUUUGCUUUUUUGGUGUGUCUGUUUUUGUUUGUUUGUAACCCCAUAAAUUCUUCUAUACUCCAUCUUGAGAUGAACAAAGAUGGCCAUUUUUGGAUAUAUGUGCUCCCUACUGACUAGUUUAAACCAUUAGAAAAACCUGAUUAUUUUCUUCACGUCUAUUUACAUUCACUUACAAAGUAAUGGACUUCUUUAGUUACGGUGUUUCAAUGCCAAUACAUAGAUGUAUAUCAGUAUUUUUUACUGCAUUCCAAUGAUUCAGCCAUUUAUAAGUAUUGAGUAGAAAAUCUUUAUAAAGUACUUUAUAUAAUUUGGUAGAGUUUUUCUACUGUAAAAUUAUACAUAUUAAACUACACACUUCACAGAAGAUACAGUUUACUAUCAACAAAAUUCAAUCAUUUAAAGAAAUAGGCAUUCUGAUUUUACAUGAUCUGUUCAUGAUUAUCAUGUGUCCAAGGUAUACUACAUAUUUGAGCAUGAGAUUUACCAAGUAUCUUCCAGGUUGUUUCAGUCACAAUUCUAUGUGUCUUUAGCCUUUACUAUAUACUAAUAAGCAAGUAUCCUCCUUUGUAGACAUCAAUGCUGUCUGACUUUCUUGUGCAUGAAGCUUUCUGACUAUCUCAGGAAAGCACAUUUCCUUGAAAAACCUAUGAUUUUUACAUCUGUUAGGCUCUAAAGUUCACAGAGUUAAUGACAUCUCCAUGCUGCCUUUUUCUGGUGGAACUUUGAUAGGUUAAAAGCAUUAGGAAUUAAUAAAUAGGGAUAAAUAUAUAUUUCACCAUGUUGUGCACCAAAUAUUGCGCCUCUAAUUGCACACAUAUUACAUUGGGGUGAACAAUGACAUCCAUGUUGCUACUCCAGUGGCAAAUUUUUAGGGGUCGCCUACUUGGGCCUUCAUUUAAUGUUUGGCAUCAAUCUGUCUUUUUUGUGAUUCACUCUAGUAUUUGAGUAUUUCUUUUUCUCCAAUAUGAUGCUUUGCAAUGUGCUUCCUGCAAAAUCAUGAAUAAUAUUGGCAAACUUCAUUAAUGGAUAGUCUUUAUUACUCAAAUUUUAAAAAUUAUUUUAGUUGAAAUUACUUCAUUCACCCCCUUCCUCACUCUGAACAAGUGGUUCUUAACUUGUUGGUCCUGAACCUUUUGGAGAUGACAUAUUUGAUAUCUUCCUAAUCAAAGACUUACAAUAGAACUCAUAACAGUUACAAAAUUACAGUUAUAAAGUAUCAAUGAAAUAAUUUUAUAAUAAUAAACCAUAAUAAUUGUAAAAUAUUAUGAUUGUAUCCUAUGACAUGAGUAAUAGUAUUAAGGAUUUAACCAUUGAUCUAUAUCCUACCAGCUACUCUUCUUCCAACUUGAGUCUUCUCAUGACUCUCAAGUUGAUCACUUCUAGGGGAAAAAAAGCCUAUUUCUCCAAUCUAUUCCCAAUACUUAUCUUCCAAAGUGACCUCCUCCCUUCUAUUGCAUUUUAAGUACGUUUAUAGCUCAACAGAAUCCUGCUUUGGGAAUUGAGGCUGUGUUUUAAAACUAUGCACCUUUUGAAAUUUAGUAUGGAUAUCAGUCUUGUCCCAGUCUCCUGUCCCAGGAGAAUCCAUAUUUACCCACAUGGAAGCCUAUGAGGAGUUCACCACUGAUGGAAUAUACCAAACCUUGCUAUGCCAAGACCCCAUAAAACACAGAAGAGAUAGAACAAGAAAAAAACAACAUCUCUCCUUGUUCAUUGAUGUUUUGGAUGGGUCUAAUAACCUGUGAGUGUGUUCCUCAUGCCUGCCAUAUUAUUAGAGGCUACACUUUGAUUAGACUUUACUGUACAAAAAUAAAAGUUUUUGAUUUA